UACGGAGGGGGUUAGCGUUGUUCGGAAUGACUGGGCGUAAAGCGCGCGUAGGCGGAUCGCAGAGUUGGGGGUGAAAGCCCAGGGCUCAACCCUGGAACUGCCUUCAAGACUCGCGGUCUGGAGUUCGGGAGAGGUGGGUGGAAUUCCGAGUGUAGAGGUGAAAUUCGUAGAUAUUCGGAGGAACACCAGUGGCGAAGGCGGCCCACUGGCUCGGCACUGACGCUGAGGCGCGAAAGCGCGGGGAGCAAACAGG
rnacentral:rRNA from 1 species